rnacentral:lncRNA from 1 species
AGCGCCAGUCAGCGCCAGGCGCUUACCGAGGAGGGACGUAUCGCUCGCUGUUGCGCCGCGUAAACUCGCCGGAGUUCGAAAAAUAUAGCGCAACCUACGCAUCUAACACGUUUUGAUACUAGAAAAUGAAGAUACAAUACAUGGAAGACGAAUUAUAGAUUUUAGUUUUUUUAUAAAUCAAUUACUUAUAAUUGAUAAACAUGGUGAAAAGUUUGGUUGUCGAUUAAAUAAUUUAAAAAUUGUAAACGAUUACUUGUUUAUUGUAACUCAAUCGAGCUAUUCUAGGUUUUAUAAUUCAUCGGUACAAAUAAUAUUUCAUAAACUAUAAAAACAAUAAAUUAUUUCGGAAAAAAGUG